UACGAGGGGGGCAAGCGUUGUUCGGAAUUAUUGGGCGUAAAGGGCGCGUAGGCGGUCUGAUAAGUCUUGUGUGAAAUCUCUGGGCUCAACCCAGAGUCUGCACAGGAAACUGUCGGGCUUGAGUAUGGGAGAGGUGCGUGGAAUUUCCGGUGUAGCGGUGAAAUGCGUAGAUAUCGGAAGGAACACCUGUGGCGAAAGCGGCGCACUGGACCAAACCUGACGCUGAGGCGCGAAAGCUAGGGGAGCAAACAGG
rnacentral:rRNA from 1 species